UACAGAGGGUGCGAGCGUUAAUCGGAAUUACUGGGCGUAAAGCGCACGUAGUCGGCUUUGCAAGUCGGGUGUGAAAUCCCCGGGCUCAACCUGGGAACUGCAUCCGAGACUGCAUUGCUAGAGUAUGGGAGAGGGAAGCGGAAUUCUUGGUGUAGCAGUGAAAUGCGUAGAUAUCAAGAGGAACACCAGCGGCGAAGGCGGCGCUCUGGGCCGGAACUGACGCUGAGGAGCGAAAGCGUGGGUAGCAAACAGG
rnacentral:rRNA from 1 species